rnacentral:rRNA from 1 species
GCAGUAGAACGCUGAAGACUUUAGCUUGCUAAAGUUGGAAGAGUUGCGAACGGGUGAGUAACGCGUAGGUAACCUGCCUACUAGCGGGGGAUAACUAUUGGAAACGAUAGCUAAUACCGCAUAACAGCAUUUAACACAUGUUAGAUGCUUGAAAGGAGCAAUUGCUUCACUAGUAGAUGGACCUGCGUUGUAUUAGCUAGUUGGUGAGGUAACGGCUCACCAAGGCGACGAUACAUAGCCGACCUGAGAGGGUGAUCGGCCACACUGGGACUGAGACACGGCCCAGACUCCUACGGGAGGCAGCAGUAGGGAAUCUUCGGCAAUGGGGGCAACCCUGACCGAGCAACGCCGCGUGAGUGAAGAAGGUUUUCGGAUCGUAAAGCUCUGUUGUAAGAGAAGAACGUGUGUGAGAGUG